rnacentral:rRNA from 1 species
GAUGAACGCUGGCGGCGUGCCUAAUACAUGCAAGUCGAGCGAGCGGACGAGAAGCUUGCUUCUCUGAUGUUAGCGGCGGACGGGUGAGUAACACGUGGAUAACCUACCUAUAAGACUGGGAUAACUUCGGGAAACCGGAGCUAAUACCGGAUAAUAUUUUGAACCGCAUGGUUCAAAAGUGAAAGACGGUCUUGCUGUCACUUAUAGAUGGAUCCGCGCUGCAUUAGCUAGUUGGUAAGGUAACGGCUUACCAAGGCAACGAUGCAUAGCCGACCUGAGAGGGUGAUCGGCCACACUGGAACUGAGACACGGUCCAGACUCCUACGGGAGGCAGCAGUAGGGAAUCUUCCGCAGUGGGCGAAAGCCUGACGGAGCAACGCCGCGUGAGUGAUGAAGGUCUUCGGAUCGUAAAACUCUGUUAUUAGGGAAGAACAUAUGUGUAAGUAACUGUGCACAUCUUGACGGUACCUAAUCAGAAAGCCACGGCUAACUACGUG